rnacentral:rRNA from 1 species
GAUGGACGCUGGCGGCGUGCCUAAUACAUGCAAGUCGAGCGAACAGACGAGGAGCUUGCUCCUCUGACGUUAGCGGCGGACGGGUGAGUAACACGUGGAUAACCUACCUAUAAGACUGGGAUAACUUCGGGAAACCGGAGCUAAUACCGGAUAAUAUAUUGAACCGCAUGGUUCAAUAGUGAAAGGCGGUUUUGCUGUCACUUAUAGAUGGAUCCGCGCCGCAUUAGCUAGUUGGUAAGGUAACGGCUUACCAAGGCGACGAUGCGUAGCCGACCUGAGAGGGUGAUCGGCCACACUGGAACUGAGACACGGUCCAGACUCCUACGGGAGGCAGCAGUAGGGAAUCUUCCGCAAUGGGCGAAAGCCUGACGGAGCAACGCCGCGUGAGUGAUGAAGGUCUUCGGAUCGUAAAACUCUGUUAUUAGGGAAGAACAAAUGUGUAAGUAACUAUGCACGUCUUGACGGUACCUAAUCAGAAAGCCACGGCUAACUACGUG